rnacentral:tRNA from 1 species
CGGAGUGUGGCGCAGUCUGGUAGCGCACUCGCCUGGGGGGCGAGGGGUCGCAAGUUCAAGUCUUGUCACUCCGACCA